rnacentral:rRNA from 1 species
AGCGCAGACGGGCGAUCAAGUUGGAAGUGAAAUCCAUGGGCUCAACCCAUGAACUGCUUUCAAAACUGAUUGUCUUGAGUAGUGCAGAGGUAGGCGGAAUUCCCGGUGUAGCGGUGGAAUGCGUAGAUAUCGGGAGGAACACCAGUGGCGAAGGCGGCCUACUGGGCACCAACUGACGCUGAGGCUCGAAAGUGUGGUAGCAAACA